rnacentral:rRNA from 1 species
UACAGAGGGGGCAAGCGUUGUUCGGAAUUACUGGGCGUAAAGGGCGCGUAGGCGGCCUGCUAAGUCGAACGUGAAAUCCCCGGGCUCAACCCGGGAACUGCGUCCGAUACUGACAGGCUCGAAUCCGGGAGAGGGAUGUGGAAUUCCAGGUGUAGCGGUGAAAUGCGUAGAUAUCUGGAGGAACACCGGUGGCGAAGGCGGCAUCCUGGACCGGUAUUGACGCUGAGGCGCGAAAGCCAGGGGAGCAAACGGG